rnacentral:sRNA from 1 species
AAGUCUACUACCUGUGAUCAUGGAAUGAGAUAUUCA